GACGAACGCUGGCGGCGUGCUUAACACAUGCAAGUCGAACGGAAAGGCCCUGCUUUUGUGGGGUGCUCGAGUGGCGAACGGGUGGGUAACACGUGAGUAACCUGCCCUUGACUUUGGGAUAACUUCAGGAAACUGGGGCUAAUACCGGAUAGGAGCUCCUGCUGCAUGGUGGGGGUUGGAAAGUUUCGGCGGUUGGGGAUGGACUCGCGGCUUAUCAGCUUGUUGGUGGGGUAGUGGCUUACCAAGGCUUUGACGGGUAGCCGGCCUGAGAGGGUGACCGGCCACAUUGGGACUGAGAUACGGCCCAGACUCCUACGGGAGGCAGCAGUGGGGAAUAUUGCACAAUGGGCGGAAGCCUGAUGCAGCAACGCCGCGUGCGGGAUGACGGCCUUCGGGUUGUAAACCGCUUUCGCCUGUGACGAAGCGUGAGUGACGGUAAUGGGUAAAGAAGCACCGGCUAACUACGUGCCAGCAGCCGCGGUGAUACGUAGGGUGCGAGCGUUGUCCGGAUUUAUUGGGCGUAAAGGGCUCGUAGGUGGUUGAUCGCGUCGGAAGUGUAAUCUUGGGGCUUAACCCUGAGCGUGCUUUCGAUACGGGUUGACUUGAGGAAGGUAGGGGAGAAUGGAAUUCCUGGUGGAGCGGUGGAAUGCGCAGAUAUCAGGAGGAACACCAGUGGCGAAGGCGGUUCUCUGGGCCUUUCCUGACGCUGAGGAGCGAAAGCGUGGGGAGCGAACAGGCUUAGAUACCCUGGUAGUCCACGCUGUAAACGGUGGGUACUAGGUGUGGGGUCCAUUCCACGGGUUCCGUGCCGUAGCUAACGCUUUAAGUACCCCGCCUGGGGAGUACGGCCGCAAGGCUAAAACUCAAAAGAAUUGACGGGGCCCCGCACAAGCGGCGGAGCAUGCGGAUUAAUUCGAUGCAACGCGUAGAACCUUACCUGGGUUUGACAUGGAUCGGGAGUGCUCAGAGAUGGGUGUGCCUCUUUUGGGGUCGGUUCACAGGUGGUGCAUGGCUGUCGUCAGCUCGUGUCGUGAGAUGUUGGGUUAAGUCCCGCAACGAGCGCAACCCUUGUUCACUGUUGCCAGCACGUUAUGGUGGGGACUCAGUGGAGACCGCCGGGGUCAACUCGGAGGAAGGUGGGGAUGACGUCAAGUCAUCAUGCCCCUUAUGUCCAGGGCUUCACGCAUGCUACAAUGGCUGGUACAGAGAGUGGCGAGCCUGUGAGGGUGAGCGAAUCUCGGAAAGCCGGUCUCAGUUCGGAUUGGGGUCUGCAACUCGACCUCAUGAAGUCGGAGUCGCUAGUAAUCGCAGAUCAGCAACGCUGCGGUGAAUACGUUCCCGGGGCU
rnacentral:rRNA from 1 species